UAAAAUAAAAUAAAUAAAAUAUAAAAAUAAACAGAAAAAGAGAGAAAAUAAAAUAACAUAAAAUAACAUAAAAAUAAACAAGAGAGAAAAUAAAUAAAUAGGUAAAUAAAAACAAAAAAAAAGGAUAAAUACAGAAGAUUAAAAUAUUCGAAAAAGGGAAAAGAAAAAUAAAAAAAAAUAUUUAUCUGUGCUUUUAAUUUUUUACUUUUUUUUAAAAAAGAAAAAUUGGACUAUCCGGACG
rnacentral:lncRNA from 1 species